UGUCCGGCUCUCCAUUACCAAGCCGGGCAUAGCUUUAAUAAGGAGGAAACAAAACAUCCCUGUGGCUCAGGGUGCGGCAGUGUGGAGACCUGUCGUAAUGCGGGUGGCUGUGCCCCUGCGAGUGCGCCAGUGGCGGAGGCCCGGCGUUCAGAGUCGGUAAAAAUGGCA
rnacentral:ncRNA from 1 species